rnacentral:tRNA from 1 species
GGCACUAUGGCUUAGCUGGCUAAAGCACCUGUUUUGUAAACAGGAGACCCUGAGUUCAACUCCCAGUGGUGCCU